rnacentral:rRNA from 1 species
CGGACGGGUGAGUAACACGUGGAUAACCUACCUAUAAGACUGGGAUAACUUCGGGAAACCGGAGCUAAUACCGGAUAAUAUAUUGAACCGCAUGGUUCAAUAGUGAAAGACGGUUUUGCUGUCACUUAUAGAUGGAUCCGCGCCGCAUUAGCUAGUUGGUAAGGUAGCGGCUUACCAAGGCAACGAUGCGUAGCCGACCUGAGAGGGUGAUCGGCCACACUGGAACUGAGACACGGUCCAG